rnacentral:rRNA from 1 species
AAAAAUGUAAUUUUGAAUAUUAAAUGAUUAAUAGUUAAGUUCUUUAAAGUUAAAUAAUUUGGCGGUAUUUUAAACUAUUCAGAGGAACCUGUUUUGUAAAUGAUAAUCCACGAUAAGUAAAACUUUAAUUAGAAAUUUUUAUAUCGUCGUAGAAAAUAUUUUUUUAGAAAAUUAAUAUUUAUAAUUUUUAAUUAAAAAAUAAAUCAGAUCAAGGUGAAGUUUAUAUUAAAGAAAUAAUGGGUUACAAUAAAAUUAUUUAUGAAUUUAGAAAGGAGAUUUUUUAAUGAAAAUGGAUUUGAAAGUAAUUUUAAAUAUUUUUUUAAAAUGAUUAAGCUCUAAAGUAUGU